rnacentral:tRNA from 1 species
GGAGACGUAGCCAAGUGGCUAAGGCAGCGGUCUGCAACACCGCCAUCACCAGUUCGACUCUGGUCGUCUCCUCCA